rnacentral:rRNA from 1 species
AAUGAACGCUGGCGGCAGGCCUAACACAUGCAAGUCGAGCGAAGUCUUCGGACUUAGCGGCGGACGGGUGAGUAACGCGUGGGAACGUGCCCUUUGCUUCGGAAUAGCCCCGGGAAACUGGGAGUAAUACCGAAUGUGCCCUUCGGGGGAAAGAUUUAUCGGCAAAGGAUCGGCCCGCGUUGGAUUAGGUAGUUGGUGGGGUAAUGGCCUACCAAGCCGACGAUCCAUAGCUGGUUUGAGAGGAUGAUCAGCCACACUGGGACUGAGACACGGCCCAGACUCCUACGGGGUGCAGCAGUGGGGAAUCUUAGACAAUGGGCGCAAGCCUGAUCUAGCCAUGCCGCGUGAUCGAUGAAGGCCUUAGGGUUGUAAAGAUCUGUCAGUGGGGAAGAUAAUGACGGUACCCACAGAAGAAGCCCCGGCUAACUCCGUGCCAGCCGCCGCAGUAA